CCAUAAACCCGGUUGCAGUGGAAAGCCCGGAAUGCAGCGUAGCGGAAUGAGGACUUGUAACGGAAAACGGGGCUAUCG
rnacentral:sRNA from 1 species